UCUGGACCUGAGGAAGUAGUUG
rnacentral:piRNA from 1 species